rnacentral:rRNA from 1 species
CGUAACGCGUGGGAAUCUGCCCUUGGGUACGGAACAACAGUUAGAAAUGACUGCUAAUACCGGAUGAUGACUUCGGUCCAAAGAUUUAUCGCCCAGGGAUGAGCCCGCGUCGGAUUAGCUAGUUGGUGAGGUAAAAGCUCACCAAGGCGACGAUCCGUAGCUGGUCUGAGAGGAUGAUCAGCCACACUGGGACUGAGACACGGCCCAGACUCCUACGGGAGGCAGCAGUGGGGAAUAUUGGACAAUGGGCGAAAGCCUGAUCCAGCAAUGCCGCGUGAGUGAUGAAGGCCUUAGGGUUGUAA